rnacentral:rRNA from 1 species
CCUACGGGAGACAGCAGUGAGGAAUAUUGGUCAAUGGACGAGAGUCUGAACCAGCCAAGUAGCGUGAAGGAUGACUGCCCUAUGGGUUGUAAACUUCUUUUAUAUGGGAAUAAAACGUUCCACGUGUGGGAUUUUGUAUGUACCAUAUGAAUAAGGAUCGGCUAACUCCGUGCCAGCAGCCGCGGUAAUACGGAGGAUCCGAGCGUUAUCCGGAUUUAUUGGGUUUAAAGGGAGCGUAGGUGGAUUGUUAAGUCAGUGGUGAAAGUUUGCGGCUCAACCGUAAAAUUGCAUUUGAAACUGGCAGUCUUGAGUACAGUAGAGGUGGGCGGAAUUCGUGGUGUAGCGGUGAAAUGCUUAGAUAUCACGAAGAACUCCGAUUGCGAAGGCAGUUCACUGGACUGCAACUGACACUGAGGCUCGAAAGUGUGGGUAUCAAACAGGAUUAGAUACCCUUGUAGUC